rnacentral:rRNA from 1 species
UAAAUUGAGAGUUUGAUCCUGGCUCAGGAUGAACGCUGGCGGCGUGCUUAACACAUGCAAGUCGAGCGAUGAAGUUUCCUUCGGGAAACGGAUUAGCGGCGGACGGGUGAGUAACACGUGGGUAACCUGCCUCAUAGAGUGGAAUAGCCUUCCGAAAGGAAGAUUAAUACC